CUCCUACGGGAGGCAGCAGUGGGGAAUAUUGGACAAUGGGGGCAACCCUGAUCCAGCCAUGCCGCGUGGGUGAAGAAGGCCUUCGGGUUGUAAAGCCCUUUUGUACGGGAAGAAAAGCCGUCGGUGAACAUCCGGCGGUGCUGACGGUACCGUAAGAAUAAGCACCGGCUAACUUCGUGCCAGCAGCCGCGGUAAUACGAAGGGUGCAAGCGUUACUCGGAAUUACUGGGCGUAAAGCGUGCGUAGGUGGUGAGUUAAGUCUGAUGUGAAAUCCCCGGGCUCAACCUGGGAAUGGCAUUGGAUACUGGCUCGCUGGAGUGCGGUAGAGGGUGGUGGAAUUCCCGGUGUAGCAGUGAAAUGCGUAGAGAUCGGGAGGAACAUCUGUGGCGAAGGCGGCCACCUGGACCAGCACUGACACUGAGGCACGAAAGCGUGGGGAGCAAACAGGAUUAGAUACCCUGGUAGUCCACGCCCUAAACGAUGCGAACUGGAUGUUGGGUGCAACUUGGCACUCAGUAUCGAAGCUAACGCGUUA
rnacentral:rRNA from 1 species